UCUAUGCCUCAAUCAUUGACUCACCAUGCGAGAACGUAUUACGGUCAGAUGCAUCAUGUCGCGACCAAGAGAUUUACCUGUAUAAUGUCACAAUCUCAUUGCCUUUACUCUGAUGUAGUUCCAAUGAUACAUUCCAAUAUUUUAUAGUCUCUUUGUUAUCGACCUGGAUUGCAGAGCCAUCUUAACGCAUGGGCAUGCUGGGCAGAUUCCUGGGGGUCCAACGAGCAAACCAUCUUUAUUAAAAUGUUUAGGUGGACUAAUC